GGAGGUUACCUUGGGAUUCUGGAGUGAGUCUGCUAUCAUGUGGUAGGAAAUUUAAGAUAAUGUGAAGUUCCUGCUCUCUGUUAGCUAUAUUAGUGGUGCAGAGAAAAUGUGAUCAGAUUCCUGCUUAUGUACUUAUACUUUUAGGAAAUUAGCUCAGGAUCCCUCAUGUACAUCUUAACAUCUGAAAGGUCAACACUGAACUCUACCUGGACAUGUCCAUUCCUUAACUGAUAUUGUCUACUCUUAGGUAUUGCUACCAGAGUACUGUUUUGCUUGAGUUACUCUGCAUAUAUCAGGAAUACUUCUUGGAGUACUUCUGGAGGUGCAGGGGCUAGUUGCUGAAGAACAUUUAGGACUGCAGCAUUCUUAGGACUGUACUAAGAGGCUUGGAAUGGGGAUAACCCUGAGUUACUGACAUUUCCCAGUUACUGUGAACAAGGAGCUAUUUAUUUUAGAAUCUCUGGAGUGGCUUUCACUUAUGGAGUUGGUGAGGAAGAUUUUUUUAGCCAUGAAGAGGAUACUGAGGCUCUGGAAUUCUAGUGAGUUGUUGUGAGGAAGAUAUUCAACCCAUUUGCCUGAGUGUUAAAGAAGUUUUGUUUUCCUGACUUUCCUAAAGAGAACUGCUUCAUUAGGUAGCCUAUCUUUGGUCAGGUCUAGAAGUUAAGAAAACUGAGGCCCAAAUUGGAGAGCAAUGCUUAAGAAAAUCAAAAUAAGUUUUAUUUUUGGUUUCAUAGGCUGCUUCUAUAGCACUCACUGAUUUCUACUCUCACUAAUAUAACAUUUAUCAGUCCAAUAAAAUUUGAUUAAAAUAUUAGCGUUGUUUUUUAUUUUAUUGCCUCUUGCAUCUGUGCAUCUUACCCUGACAGCCACAUUACAAUGAGCCCAGUAUUUAUUAUUCAUGAAGACAGCAGAGGCAUUGCAAUUAUUAGUUCUUUUUUAAAUUAAAUAGACCUUAUGAUAACAGAAAGAUUAAUAGGAGCAGGGGCAGCAAGUGAAGAAAUGGGAAGGCCAACUUGCAAAUCUGAUUUAAAUGUCUGGUAUAUUGAAAUUGAGGGGAAGAUGUAAAAUUAAGAAAGUUACAAGCAGGAAAUGGCAAACACCAGCUGAGGCGAUGGAGAGUGCCAUAUGUUAUAUGUUCUUCAUGCUUUUUUUUCCUACUGCUUUUUUCAAAAAAGACUAUAUAUAAAAUACACACAUUAUAUAUAUACAUGCAUACAUUACCCUGGCACAUGUAUCAUUAAGGAUCUCCUUGGAAAGACAAGUUGAUAUAUUUAUUUUUUGGAAACAAAAAUUCAAAGUUAUUUUCUGCAGCAUCAGGUUUGCAUUUAUACCAGUAAUCCCAUGACUCUAUUCAUUGUUGAAGAUUUAAAAUUCUAGUCAGUUUCUUUUGGUUUUCCUGUUGGAUUUUAUCUGUCCAAGUUCUGAGCUCGGCUGUCUCUCUGUGUUUCUGUUGAUGAGCAUCCAAGGAAUAGUUUUGAAGCCUGUUCCAAUCUAUUCUUCCCACAAUAUUUGUUUAACACGGGAUAAACAAUUGAUCACAAAGAAUAAACAAUGAUAAAAUGUUCUUAAUCUUAUUAUAUUGGGGCUAUGCAAAUCUGGGCAGCAUUUGUUACAUGGAGGCAAAUGUGAAUUUCAUGUGAUUUUUAUACUGCGGAAUUAAUUUUGAAUGUCAAAAUGACUUAUCUCAUUUAUUAUUCUCUGUUUAGAUUUAUUUUUAAAAUUUGACAUUUCCCCUGCAAUUCGCUGUUCAAAACCUGUCUGCACAUUUAUAUCCUUUCAUCAUAUGCUGCUAUAAACAAUAAUCAAUAAAGCAUCCAAUAAAAAGUCUAGCAUUGCUAGUUGUUAAGAAAGUCAGCAGCUUUUGAAAAAGGAGCAGCUAUUUAUCCUAUCAACUUAUCUACAUUCCUCUAGGUCUUAGAUGUCUUUGACCUCCUUAGUUUGCCUUCCAGAUGGCAGUAGCAACUGAAUUUCGUCUACAUAUUCUGUAUUCUUGAUUCAUAGGGGGAAAAAUCCCUCUCAUCCUUGAUUAAUAAUUUAUUAUCAUUUAGCAUAUUUGUAAAAUUUAUAUCUAGAAUUCUCUUCCUCCCAAUAAUAGCACAAAUAGCAACGAUGUCUUCUAUUUUAGACAGGAGCUUGCCUUGUUCCUUACUUAAUUCUCUGCUAUUUUGUAGCUUGUAGGGGCUAUUCUCCUUGGUAGGCAGUGCAAGUGGGCUUUACUUAUCAUCAAAUAUGUUAUUCUAGAUGUGACAUUCUCUUCUAGAAGACCCAUUUGAAGAAGGAAAAGUUUCCAAGUUAGUAAAAAAUUGGCAGUGACCUGGUAUGUCAACUUAUGUUAGAAAUGAGAUUGAUCAAAUUAUGUUAUGUGCAGGUGUAAAUAUGGCAUAAUGAAUCCAACUAUUAAGUAUAAUUUUGAUGCACCAAUAAAAAUAGACUUUAAGCAUUUUCUAGAUGAUGAUGACUUUAAGCCUUGUUACUUAGUCCAACAUUUUAAAGGGAGCUUAAUGGUAUAGAGACAAGCAUUACAAUAAUUACUACUUCAGAAUGCCAAAAAGGUCUAGGCAUCUAGGGAUUUUAUAUGAGAUUGAGGAUUCGAAAAAAAGCUAUGUCUACAAUGACAGUGAUAAUUUUUGAGAUACUGGAUAUUUUAGAAAAGUAUCACCUCCUCCUGUUCCUCUUCUUUCUGUUUUUUUAAAAUUAGUAAAUGAUGUGCCUAUGUCUUGAUUAUCUGUUGUGUUUUGUGAUAGUGGUAGGUUAGAAAAAUGGAAACUGGAAGAAGGGAAACAAAGUUUCCUCUUUUAUAUCAUAAGUGAAACAGUAGUUAUAAAUAUAAAAUCCAAUGGUAAUUUGACUGAGAGAUAUAUCAGACCUAGCCAAUUCUUUGUUUCAAUCUUCACAGUGAGAAAUUCCGAACAGCUGCCAGGAAGCAACACACUCUCUGUUUCUCAGGGGAGGAAGAAGGAAAACUAAAGGAACAAAGGACCGUGCCUGGACAGAUGAUGAAGCAAUUAGACUAUUGUGAAAUCUAAAAGAACCGCAGUAUCAGAACAAUUGAAUGAGAAAGUAAAUUACUGAAUGUAAAGCACUAUACAUACUUUGGAAAGAUUUGGAGUAUAUAAGAAAGAAAGAAGCCAUUUUGGAAUCUUAAUGUAAGAUAAGGAGUAAAAUAAACCUGUACUUUUUUUUUUUCUGUCAAUCUCUCUCCUGAUUUCCUUGUUUCCCAUCAUGUUGGAGGUCAGUGAGAAGAGUCAACAUGGACCAUUUUUCAUGAAGGUGGCCACUAGUCACCCAGAAUGUCACUAUCUUUUAUUCAGUACUUUGAAAAAUGUACUUAAAUAAAUAAAUGAACACCCCAUUUCAAUUGAGUCAUUUAGUGGGAGUCACAAGGUGAGAGGCCACAGUAUAGACUAAGCCACAUCACUGGUCCCUUGAAAAAGUAAGAGUGGAA
rnacentral:lncRNA from 1 species